GCGUCACUGCUGAUGGAGCUGCCACGUACGUGGACGGCGGCGCCCGAGAAGACCUUUUCUGAAGAGAAUGCGUGCCUGGCGAUUGUCACUUGCAGUCGCAACUUUUACAAAGUGGCAGCUGGCCUCCAUGGGGCGGUGCAGACAGGGGACUGUCAUUGCUGGAGCACCUCGUGGCUAUCCACAGGAAAUGGAAAAAACAUGCUGUUUUCACAACGCGGACGACACCGUGUCAAAGGAAGUUAUGGAAAAGAGACUGAAGGCAGUGCACUGGUACCCCUUGCAGCAAUUGGGUAAUCUGCUGUAGUAGUGAAAUUUGCAAUAAAGUUUUAUCU